rnacentral:rRNA from 1 species
UAUAUUUCACUUUUAUUUAUAUUUUAUAUACCACCAUCUUUUAGGAUUAAUAUAAAUAUUCUUUCCUUAAUAGAAACUUCUCAUAAGUUAGGUAAAGGUGUAGACUAUAUAAAAGAUAAGAUGGGUUACAUUAAGAAAUACUGAAGGAUAAUCAUUCAAAUAUUUUUGGAAAAAGGAUUUAUUAGUAAUAUUAAAAGAUU